GUGCUGUGAGCUCGAUGAGUAGGGCGGGACACGUGGUAUCCUGUCUGAAUAUGGGGGGACCAUCCUCCAAGGCUAAAUACUCCUGACUGACCGAUAGUGAACCAGUACCGUGAGGGAAAGGCGAAAAGAACCCCGGCGAGGGGAGUGAAAAAGAACCUGAAACCGUGUACGUACAAGCAGUGGGAGCCCCACCACCAAAGCAUUCUCUGGUGUUGAAGGCCCUGCAAAGCAGCAUCGCGGUGGCGGAGCGUCGUUUGCGACGCCCAACACACAAAACAAGCGGUGAGUGCUUUGGGGUGGGGUGACUGCGUACCUUUUGUAUAAUGGGUCAGCGACUUAUAUUCUGUAGCAAGGUUAACCGAAUAGGGGAGCCGGAGGGAAACCGAGUCUUAAUUGGGCGUUAAGUUGCAGGGUAUAGACCCGAAACCCGGUGAUCUAGCCAUGGGCAGGUUGAAGGUUGGGUAACACUAACUGGAGGACCGAACCGACUAAUGUUGAAAAAUUAGCGGAUGACCUGUGGCUGGGGGUGAAAGGCCAAUCAAACCGGGAGAUAGCUGGUUCUCCCCGAAAGCUAUUUAGGUAGCGCCUCGUGAAUUCAUCUCCGGGGGUAGAGCACUGUUUCGGCUAGGGGGCCAUCCCGGCUUACCAACCCGAUGCAAACUGCGAAUACCGGAGAAUGUUAUCACGGGAGACACACGGCGGGUGCUAACGUCCGUCGUGAAGAGGGAAACAACCCAGACCGCCAGCUAAGGUCCCAAAGUCAUGGUUAAGUGGGAAACGAUGUGGGAAGGCCCAGACAGCCAGGAUGUUGGCUUAGAAGCAGCCAUCAUUUAAAGAAAGCGUAAUAGCUCACUGGUCGAGUCGGCCUGCGCGGAAGAUGUAACGGGGCUAAACCAU
rnacentral:rRNA from 1 species